rnacentral:rRNA from 1 species
UGAAAUCCCCAGAAGCUUUAACUUCUGGAACUGCCAUUAAAACUUUUCAGCUAGAGUUUGAUAGAGGAAAGCAGAAUUUCUAGUGUAGAGGUGAAAUUCGUAGAUAUUAGAAAGAAUACCAAUUGCGAAGGCAGCUUUCUGGAUCAUUACUGACACUGAGGAACGAAAGCAUGGGUAGCGAAGAGGAUUAGAUACCCUCGUAGUCCAUGCCGUAAACGAUGUGUGUUAGACGUUGGAAAUUUAUUUUCAGUGUCGCAGCGAAAGCGAUAAACACACCGCCUGGGGAGUACGACCGCAAGGUUAAAACUCAAAUGAAUUGACGGGGACCCGCACAAGUAGUGGAGCAUGUGGUUUAAUUCGAAGAUACGCGCAGAACCUUACCAACACUUGACAUGUUCGUCGCGACUCUAAGAGAUUAGAGUUUUCGGUUCGGCCGGACGAAACACAGGUGCUGCAUGGCUGUCGUCAGCUCGUGUCGUGAGAUGUUGGGUUAAGUCCCGCAACGAGCGCAACCCUCACUUUUAGUUGCCAUCAUUAAGUUGGGCACUCUGAAAGAACUGCCAGUGAUAAGCUGGAGGAAGGUGGGGAUGACGUCAAGUCCUCAUGGCCCUUACGUGUUGGGCUACACACGUGCUACAAUGGUAUCUACAACAGGAAGCAAGACUGCGAGGUCAAGCAAAUCCUUAAAAGAUACCUCAGUUCGGAUUGCACUCUGCAACUCGAGUGCAUGAAGCUGGAAUUACUAGUAAUCGUGGAUCAGCGUGCCACGGUGAAUGCGUUCCCGGCUUUUGCACACACCGCCCG